GACAGAGGGUGCAAACGUUGUUCGGAAUUACUGGGCGUAAAGCGCGUGUAGGCGGCUUUGCAAGUCGGGUGUGAAAUCCCACGGCUCAACCGUGGAAGUGCACUCGAAACUGCAAGGCUAGAGUCCUGGAGAGGAAGGUGGAAUGCUUGGUGUAGAGGUGAAAUUCGUAGAUAUUCGCAAGAACACCAGUGGCGAAGGCGGCUCACUGGCCCGAUACUGACGCUGAGGCGCGAAAGCUAGGGGAGCGAACGGG
rnacentral:rRNA from 1 species